UACGAAGGGGGCUAGCGUUGCUCGGAAUCACUGGGCGUAAAGCGCACGCAGGCGGGUCGUUAAGUCAGGGGUGAAAUCCCGAGGCUCAACCUCGGAACUGCCUUUGAUACUGGCGAUCUUUGAGUCCGGGAGAGGUGAGUGGAACUCCGAGUGUAGAGGUGAAAUUCGUAGAUAUUCGGAAGAACACCAGUGGCGAAGGCGGCUCACUGGCCCGGUACUGACGCUCAUGUGCGAAAGCGUGGGGAGCAAACAGG
rnacentral:rRNA from 1 species